AUUAGACGAAUCAUCUGGAAAGAUGAAUCAAAGAAGGUAAUAAUCCUGUAGUCGAAAAUGUUGUCUCUCUUGAGUGGAUCCUGAGUACGACGGAGCACGUGAAAUUCCGUCGGAAUCUGGGAGGACCAUCUCCUAAGGCUAAAUACUCUCUAGUGACCGAUAGUGAACCAGUACCGUGAGGGAAAGGUGAAAAGCACCCCGGAAGGGGAGUGAAAUAGAACCUGAAACCGUGUGCUUACAAGUAGUCAGAGCCCGUUAAUGGGUGAUGGCGUGCCUUUUGUAGAAUGAACCGGCGAGUUACGAUUUGAUGCAAGGUUAAGCAGUAAAUGUGGAGCCGUAGCGAAAGCGAGUCUGAAUAGGGCGUUUAGUAUUUGGUCGUAGACCCGAAACCAGGUGAUCUACCCUUGGUCAGGUUGAAGUUCAGGUAACACUGAAUGGAGGACCGAACCGACUUACGUUGAAAAGUG
rnacentral:rRNA from 1 species